GGGCUUUCCCCGCAGUUCGUAUGCGCUUAUAUUGGGAACGUCGGCGCAAGCCGGCUAUGGCGAUAAAUGGCCGUCGCAAUAAACCCUUCGGACCCGGGGGCGGUACCCGGCGCCUCCACCCAAGCCCGGCGCGGCCGGGUUUGGGCGGGGGCGAAACAGGAUCGACGAGGGCGUAAAGGGCGCGCUUUUGCUCGGCAUGGUUCCGCCGUUAUCGGGCCACGGCAAUAGUUGCAAACGACAACUAUGCUCCGGUUGCUCAGGCCGCGUAACGCGGUUUGAAAGACCGAUCGAAGCCCUGACGUCUUAGCAGCGUCAGGCGGGGUCCGGGGGCACCUGGCAACAGAAGCCCCCACC
rnacentral:tmRNA from 1 species